rnacentral:rRNA from 1 species
AUUGAACGCUGGCGGCAUGCUUUACACAUGCAAGUCGAACGGUAAAAGGGUGCUUGCACCGCUGACGAGUGGCGAACGGGUGAGUAAUGCGUCGGAACGUGCCGAGUAGGGGGGGCUAACGCAGCGAAAGCUGUGCUAAUACCGAAUACGUACUGAGGUAGAAAGUGGGGGACCUUGAGGCCUCACGCUAUUCGAGCAGCCGACGUCUGAUUAGCUAGUAGGUGAGGUAAAGGCUGACCUAGGCGACGAUCAGUAGCGGGUCUGAGAGGAUGAUCCGCCAAACUGGGACUGAGACACGGCCCAGACUCCUACGGGAGGCAGCAGUGGGGAAUUUUGGACAAUGGGCGAAAGCCUGAUCCAGCCAUGCCGCGUGUCUGAAGAAGGCCUUCGGGUUGUAAAGGACUUUUGGCAGGGAGGAAAUCCCUAGUGCUAAUAACACUGGGGGAUGACAGUACCUGAAGAAUAAGCACCGGCUAACUACGUGCCAGCCGCCGCGGUAA